GUGGCGCGAAGCUACCGUGCGCUGGAUUAUGACUGAACGCCUCUAAGUCAGAAUCCGGGCCAGAAGCGACGCGUUGUCCGCCGCUCGUUUGCCGACCAGCAGUAGGGGCCCUCCGGCCCCCAAAGGCACGUGUCGUUGGCUAAGCCCUCGCGGCGGACGAGCCGCGCGGGCCGCCUUGAAUUACAAUUUCCACCGGGCGGCGGACUGAAUCCUUUGCAGACGACUUAAAUACGCGACGGGGUAUUGUAAGUGGCAGAGUGGCCUUGCUGCCACGAUCCACUGAGAUUCAGCCCUUCGUCGCUCCGAUUCGU
rnacentral:ncRNA from 1 species